CGCGUAGGUGGUUAUAUAAGAUUGUUGUGAAAUCCCUGGGCUUAACCUAGGAACUGCAACGAUGACUGUAUAGCUUGAGUAUUGUAGAGGGUAGUGGAAUUUCCGGUGUAGCGGUGAAAUGCGUAGAGAUCGGAAGGAACACCAGUGGCGAAGGCGGCUACCUGGACAAAUACUGACACUGAGGCGCGAGAGCGUGGGGAGCAAACAGGAUUAGAUACCCUGGUAGUCCACGCUGUAAACGAUGAAGACUAGAUGUUGGGCAGCUUGACUGCUUAGUAUCGAAGCAAACGCGAUAAGUCUUCCGCCUGGGGAGUACGGCCGCAAGGUUAAA
rnacentral:rRNA from 1 species